UACAGAGGUCUCAAGCGUUGUUCGGAUUCAUUGGGCGUAAAGGGUGCGUAGGCGGCGGGGUAAGUUUGAUGUGAAAUCCCGGGGCUCAACCCUGGAAUUGCAUUGAAUACUACCUUGCUAGAGUACCGGAGAGGAAACUGGAAUUUACGGUGUAGCAGUGAAAUGCGUAGAGAUCGUAAGGAAGACCAGUGGCGAAGGCGAGUUUCUGGACGGUAACUGACGCUGAGGCACGAAGGCCAGGGGAGCAAACAGG
rnacentral:rRNA from 1 species